rnacentral:rRNA from 1 species
AUUGAACGCUGGCGGCAUGCCUUACACAUGCAAGUCGAACGGCAGCACGGGUGCUUGCACCUGGUGGCGAGUGGCGCACGGGUGAGUAAUACAUCGGAACAUGUCCUGUAGUGGGGGAUAGCCCGGCGAAAGCCGGAUUAAUACCGCCUACGAUCUACGGAUGAAAGCGGGGGACCUUCUGGCCUCGCGCUAUACGGUUGGCCGAUGGCUGAUUAGCUAGUUGGUGGGGUAAAGGCCUACCAAGGCGACGAUCAGUAGCUGGUCUGAGAGGACGACCAGCCACACUGGGACUGAGACACGGCCCAGACUCCUACGGGAGGCAGCAGUGGGGAAUUUUGGACAAUGGGCGAAAGCCUGAUCCAGCAAUGCCGCGUGUGUGAAGAAGGCCUUCGGGUUGUAAAGCACUUUUGUCCGGAAAGAAAUACUUGGCCCUAAUACGGUCGGGGGAUGACGGUACCGGAAGAAUAAGCACCGGCUAACUACGUG